CCUACGGGUGGUAGCAGUGGGGGAUAUUGCACAAUGGGGGGAACCCUGAUGCAGCGACGCCGCGUGGGUGCAGGAGCGUUUCGGCGCGUAAAGCUCUAUCGGCAGGGAAGAAGAUGACGGUACCUGACCAAGAAGCCCCGGCUAACUACGUGCCAGCAGCCGCGGUAAUACGUCGGGGGCAAGCGUUAUCCGGAUUUACUGGGUGUAAAGGGGGCGCAGACGGCAGUGCAAGCCAGGAGUGAAAGGCCGGGGCUAAACCCCGGGACUGCUCUUGGAACUGCGUGGCUGGAGUACAGGAGGGGCAGGGGGAAUGACUAGUGUAGCGGUGAAAUGCGUAGAUAUUAGGAGGAACACCAGUGGCGAAGGCGGCCUACUGGACUGUGACUGACGUUGAGGCUCGAAAGCGUGGGGAGCAAACAGGAUUAGAUACCCUGGUAGUC
rnacentral:rRNA from 1 species